GACGUAGGGCGCGAGCGUUGUCCGGAUUUAUUGGGCGUAAAGAGCUCGUAGGCGGCUUGUUGCGUCGUCCGUGAAAACCCGCAGCUCAACUGCGGGCUUGCGGACGAUACGGGCAGGCUGGAGUUCGGUAGGGGAGACUGGAAUUCCUGGUGUAGCGGUGAAAUGCGCAGAUAUCAGGAGGAACACCGGUGGCGAAGGCGGGACUCUGGGCCGAUACUGACGCUGAGGAGCGAAAGCGUGGGGAGCAAACAGG
rnacentral:rRNA from 1 species